GGGAGCUCUCCCAUAUGGUCGACCUGCAGGCGGCCGCGAAUUCACUAGUGAUUAGAGUUUGAUCAUGGCUCAGAACGAACGCUUUCGGUAUGCUUAACACAUGCAAGUCGAACGGAUUUAUUUAGAGCUUGCUUUAAAUAAAUUAGUGGCAGACGGGUGAGUAACACGUGGGAAUCUGCCCAUCAGUACGGAAUAACAUUUAGAAAUAAUUGCUAAUACCGUAUAUUCUCUUUGGAGGAAAGAUUUAUCGCUGAUGGAUGAGCCCGCGCCAGAUUAGGUAGUUGGUAGGGUAAUGGCCUACCAAGCCAAUGAUCUGUAGCUGGUUUGAGAGAAUGAUCAGCCACACUGGGACUGAGGCACGGCCCAGACUCCUACGGGAGGCAGCAGUGGGGAAUAUUGGACAAUGGGCGCAAGCCUGAUCCAGCAAUGCCGCGUGAGUGAUGAAGGCCUUAGGGUUGUAAAGCUCUUUUACCCGGGAUGAUAAUGACAGUACCGGGAGAAUAAGCUCCGGCUAACUCCGUGCCAGCAGCCGCGGUAAUACGAAUCGAAUUCCCGCGGCCG
rnacentral:rRNA from 1 species